AGUUUUAAUAGUUUAUAAAAAUAUUGGUCUUGUAAAUCAAAGUUGAGAAUUAUUUCUCUUAAAACUUC
rnacentral:tRNA from 1 species